CAGACAUGAGUAGCAAUACUUGAUGGCGACCGGCGAAACGGGUGACGGAACACGUACACAACCUUCCUUCAAGCGGGGAAUAGCCCUAGAGAAAUUUGGGAUUAAUACCCCAUAAUAUAUUUGAUAAGGCAUCUUAUUAAUAUUAAAGCUUCGGCACUUGAUGAUGGGUGUGCGGCUGAUUAGAUAGUUGGCGGGGUAACGGCCCACCAAGUCUACGAUCAGUAGCUGAUGUGAGAGCAUGAUCAGCCACACGGGCACUGAGACACGGGCCCGACUCCUACGGGAGGCAGCAGUAAGGAAUAUUGGACAAUGGACGAAAGUCUGAUCCAGCCAUGCCGCGUGAAGGAUUAAGGUCCUCUGGAUUGUAAACUUCUUUUAUAUGGGACGAAAAAGGGCAUUCUUGUUCACUUGACGGUACCAUAUGAAUAAGCACCGGCUAACUCCGUG
rnacentral:rRNA from 1 species